AACACUUUAAAUAUAGUUUAAAAGAUGAUUGGAGUGAAUAUUUAAGAUGCAAAUGUCCCUAAUAUUUGCUAAAACUCAUCAUUUUCUUAUGCGGCACAAAAUGAUGUCAACUUUGACCCCGAAAGCCGGUUCAGCGCUGCGUCCCUCACUGGCGCUGCAAGGGGGAAACAUCCCAUGAACUCACUUAUCUCCCUGACCUGUAGGCAGAUCCUUGGCCUGACACUCCACCCGCACCCUUCAUCAGAAAUUUAUGACAUUUCCUGUGUCACACAUUAACUGCACUCACAUUGUCCUCCCACAUUGUGAUUCACUUUCCCUCCCGCGUGGCCUGUCCUUCUCCUUUCUGACUCACUCAUCGAGGUAAAAGGUCCUGCCACCUGUCUGCUCCUUCAACACUUGCGUGUCCAUCACUCAGGACGGCCAGCGAAUCACGGCUUCAGCUGCCGCGGCGGAUCCCACCUGCUGUCACUCUGCAGGGGGAUGCGAAAAUAAUUAUGGGGGGGGGGCAAGCAAGUGUGGAAAUAACAAGCUCUGAGAUAUGCUAUUUGUUUGCACAGGACUCCACUACUGCAUAAGUCAUCACCGGCAUCCCAAGCUCAUCUCGUUUGGUUCCCUUCCCUAAACGAUCCCACUGGAGUGAAUUUACCUUUGAAAGACUGAAGGUUUGUGGGAGGAAGCCUGUGGAGUCAUCCGGGCCUGCAGUCCCUCAGGGGGGAAAAGAGGAACACAGCACAGCCAGAUUCCACGCAUUUCAUGCCAUGUGCACUGUCAUGCCAGAGGGGUGUGAGGGUAAGCCUACGCUGCAGGCAAAAGAGGAACGCCCAAACUCCGGUAACACUCAAGCAACAAACGUCUCCUCUUGGUUUGACCUGCUUUGACAGUUUCAGGAAUCAGAUUAUCUGUCUUCUUGCAUAAGUUCCAAUAGGUAAAAACUGAAAUCCUGGAGGGACGGCAAUCCACAGAUGUCCCACGUAUGUUUUGUCACUCAAACUGAGAAAACAAGAUGCUCACAGACCUGCAGAACGAGAACUCUCACACAUGGGCUGCCCUGUCAGAAACUGAUCAUGUAAAAACAGAAAUAUUCUUUAAAACUCUGAUGGUUCCAAAAAUGCAACCAUAGGACACUUUAGGUAAAACGUAAAGGAACAUUGGUGUUUCCACCAGUGGGAACUCUUUACUGAAGCUGUCUAAUGAUUUAAAAGUGAAAAUGAACUAGUCAUGUGGGAUUUACUGAAUCAGAUUUUGUUUUUAAUAACUUCCAUUGUUGUCUGAAUACAAUAAAACCGGUUAGUAUUCUGUUUUUUUUAAACCUGCUUUCUUCCCAUGCAGGGACACAGGGUUGCUGGAGCCUAUCCACAUACUAUAUAAGUGGAGUACAUCCUGCACAGUUUGCCAGUACAUAACAACACAGAGAGACAAACACACUCCCAUUCGCACCUCAGGGACAAUUUAGAGACACCAAAUAACCUAUGAAGCGUGCUUUUGUACUGUGGGAGGAAAAAGGAGUACUGGGAAAACAUGCAAAGUCCACACAGAAAAGACCCAGAAGGGAUUCGAUGUGGAUUGCCCUUAAUUUUGUUCAUUUUCCUUUCGUGUCACUGACUGACAGACAAGACGCUAACAUCUGAUGUGAAUAUCAGAGCAAGAAUGGUUAAUCUGAGCGACUGAGUCACAACUGUUUAUUUCUCUAUAGAAGUCUUUGGGAUUUUGGCUUCUUGGAGCCGGCUGGUACUUCCUGUUUGGAACGCCAGGGGGGAGGGGCCACUCAGUCCAGUUUUCAUAAUCCGUCAGUGGUUCUCAUCGUGUAUCUGUCUGUGACCUCGAUGAAGAUUUGAUGGGAGCAAUUGCGGUUUCCCGGCAUCUGACCAAACCUUGAACCACAUCACCAGCAUCUUGCCAGUGCCAGCAACUCCUGGUGGGGAUGAGCAUGAAACCCUCUUUGGAGGACUACAACAUCAGAUUGGUCUAAGAGCUUCUUUGCAGUGGGAAUCAGCUAUUGAGAACUACAUCGCCCUAAAAAACAUGGCUGGUCUGUAAAACCUUUAGGGAAGUAUUUGCAUUGUAACUAAACCAGGGCAUCCCAAAACCAGCAGGAAGCAUACUCUCAAGAGCUGGAUUUGGGCACCCAGAACUAAAGUAAUACAACCUUUUUAUGUAUGAUAUUAGCUAUAUGUCAUUUUCCUCUCUCCUAUCAUUUCACGUGUCAAAAAAAGUUUUCUAUGUCUGAAAGAAACCGAACAAAAAUGUCUGUAGUCCAGUAUUUUUUAUUACAGAAAGUAUUAUAUAAAAAAUGUUGCAGUUUUUCAAAGUGUAACAGAAAGUAUAACAAAUAUAGUAGCCCUGAAAUAUAACUGGGUGUGGCAACAUUAACUUUUACAAAAAAAAAUUCAUUUGUCUAAAAGCACCCAAAGCCAGGGGAAUUCUUGAUUGAUUCCAAAGUCCAUGUUGGCUUUACAGGCUCUAUAGGAGUCCAAAAGAGGAAUCUUUAAAAUGUUGGCACAGGUAUUCGCCGUUGGUAAUCUUUAUGUUGAGGAAGACAUGAAGUGAAGGCGUGUCAGAGGACUCAUACCAGAUGGAGGAACACGUGGCACACCUGCAGAAAAAAAACAUCAACAGCUCCUUCAAGGUCAUCCUCUAAAAGUAGAUAGAAAAAAAUUGACAAUACAAACCACCCAUAUUAAAAUUUAGAAUGAUAAUAAGAUGAGUUUUAUCGUGUUUUACGCUUUUAUGAUACUAUUUCACAUUUUCACAAAUCAGGUAAAAGUUUCACAAAUGAGAAACCGUGUUUAAUUUAUUCUUUACUAUCUAAAUUUAAUCCAGGUUUGAGCAGUUCAGGUCCAGCGGUUUUUCAGUACCUGGUCUGAGGUGGACUCAGUGCAUAAAAUGCCUUAAAAAUCAUCCUAUUUCACAUCUUCACAAAUCAGAAACUGUGUUUAAUGUACUCUUUAGAACCAAAUGAAUAAUAUAAUCCAGGUUUAAGCAGUCAGGGUCCUGUGGUUUUUUGAACAGGACCCUGUUUUAGCUGAUUAUAGUCCAAAAAAUGCAGUGGAAUGUUCCUUUAGUGCCCUCGCAAAGCGCAAGAGGCGGUAGACGCAAAUGCUGAAUCACGUUCCGCGUGAAACUCAGCUUGAUUAGUGGUCUUUCUGUACACUGGACUGGCUGUGUCUGCGCGUUAGCCGAAGUUAACAAUAACCAGAAUAAAACUUAGGGCUACCUCUGGCCAAACCAGAUAACAUCAAAAUUACACAUAGUAACAUUUAACACCAACAUUUUCAGUUACUUCACUUUCUCGUUCAGUUUCCGAUUCAAAGCCAACCCACUUCUGGUGUACAUUCUGUAAACUGACUCCAGAUCUGUUGUGGCGUCACUUUCGUGGUGAUGUCACUUCCGCUAAGGCUUUCCUUUUAUUUGCAGCCGUUUUCCAAAAAAUAAUAAAAAAAGAAAAAAAGAAAAAAAUAUUUGCAGCCGUUCUCCUAGAUGCAUCGCUUUUUUAUGUUUGCAUUUAAAGUUUUUUUUUUGCAUCGCUUUUUUUUCUUUUUUGCUGUGAUGCCGGUUAUUGUUUGCAGCAUUUAUUUUUUAUUCGCAUUUCUUCUUUUUUAUUUGAUUUCAUUUUCAUUUUGUUUGCAGUUGCUUUUUUUUUUUGCUGUGAUGGCGGUUCUCGGCCACUGUACAGUUUAGCUCAAGACUACCUAAUGUUGAAGCAAAAGCAGAUGGAAGAAUAGGUACUUGCUGAAAUCCUGUUCUGUAAAAGCGGACAUUUUAAAGUGGCGUAAGAUCUGAUAAUGCAGAAGUCGAACAGAAAUACCCCGCUGAAGGAGGGAAAGCAGUUUGUCCUCUUUGUGUUGGUUGACCCGUGCACUGACCGAAGACCUGACAUUAAAGCCACACGUGCUGGUUCUGAGUCUCCACCUCCGAUCCGUGUUCUUUGACAACAAAGCUCUACUUUAACCUUCAGAAUUUUUCUAAAACUGAAAACCGUUUGCAUUUUCAGCUCAUUCCUCAGUAAUUUUCUGAUGUUUAAACCAACAGUUCAUAAUUUUUAUCAGCUCAAUAAGGUUUGAACUAGUAAGAGAUUUACAAAAAAAAUUAUUUGAUUUAAUUUGACCUUAACAGUCUAAACAAGUAGCAUGAUAUUAGAGGAUUAAUCUUCAUCUGACCCUUCAAUUCUCUCCCUGAGAUGAUCUCUCGCUGUUGUGUUUACUCGGCCGAACACUAAAGUGUUUUCGACGCAUUUUUCCCUGACACCGUGUGAAGCGGUCUCUGACGGGCUCCCUGACUCAGUCCCCCCGUCCCUGACAUAAGCAGAUUUUUGUUCUGGGCCGGUGGACUUGGUACACCUGUUUCAAGUCUUUGUUUUCCCAGAAGCCAGGAUUUCUGUGGUCAAAACAAAAAUAAGAACAGGUUUAAGUUGUAGAGUCACCUUAAACAGUUACAGGAACUACCUUCACUACCUAUCCCUUAAGUGGUUCCCAGAAACUCUCUGUUCUCAGGUGUGACUUUGCAAAAGACUCAAUUUUAUGUCAGGUCUUCAAAUCUUUAUGCAAAAAAUGCAAACCUUGUCAAACGUUUUUUUUGUUAAAAACGUGAAAAGCAAAACAAAUGAAAAGCAAAAAUGAAAAUUAAAACUGUAAAAUUAAAUACAUUUGGAUCUGCAAUGACAUGAUUCAAACUCAAAAGAGUGGAAUGAACGCUUUAAAUGAUAAACAAUUUACUGUCAUGGUGCCUCUUUCAGCUUUCCUCCCCCUCCCCUCUCUGCUUAGCUCCUGAUGAUUCCCAGCUGUGUCCACUCACCUCAUCACCGACCAGACCUAUUUAAGCAGAUCCGGAACCAGCAUUCAUCGCCAGUUCGUUGCUCCUGAUGGACAUUCUGACCACGAGUGGACACCUGAGUCACCGGAUUACCUGAGCCACAGAACCUCUCGGAACACCAAGAACCUCCAGCCUCGCCACGAACCAACUCCGACCACCAGCCUCGCCUCGAGCCGUAACUACCUCAAGCUUCUUCCAGCAACUUCACCCGCUGCUCUCCAGCCUCCAGCCACAUCAAGAUCUCAAGCAACUCUGAAUAUCAUUAAAACUUGACUUACCAACGUCU